GUGCCAGCCGCCGCGGUAAUACGGAGGGUGCAAGCGUUAUCCGGAAUCACUGGGUUUAAAGGGUGCGUAGGCGGCCUGGUAAGUCAGGGGUGAAAGUUUGCCGCUCAACGGUAAAAUUGCCUUUGAUACUGUCAGGCUUGAAUAGGCGCGAGGCAGGCGGAAUGUGACAUGUAGCGGUGAAAUGCAUAGAUAUGUCAUAGAACACCAAUUGCGAAGGCAGCUUGCCAGAGCCUUAUUGACGCUGAGGCACGAAAGCGUGGGGAGCGAACAGGAUUAGAUACCCUGGUAGUCCACGCCCUAAACGAUGCUUACUCGACGUGCGGUUUUCGGAUUGUGCGUCCAAGCGAAAGCGCUAAGUAAGCCACCUGGGGAGUACGCCGGCAACGGUGAAACUUAAAUGAAUUGGCGGGG
rnacentral:rRNA from 1 species